rnacentral:lncRNA from 1 species
AGGGGAGCCCCGUUCCCGCGGCAGGACGGCGGCCCGCGCCCGGCCCGGAACGAGCCGCCAGCCUCGCUCUGCCCGCGGGGCUCCGCGCUGCCCACACGGUGGAGCUGGCCGCGCGCAGAAGCCCCGGGCCCUCUUCUGGUUACAGCGGCCGCGAGCGAAAGGCUGCGGCGGCUGCAGCGCAGGGCACGGCCCGCUGGUCCCCUACCAGGUACACACGAUACUAGCUCGAGACGGAGCAGCUUCACGUCAGUACACUUGUCUGUCUUGAAACAGCCUCCUGAAACAUCAAACGUUUGGCAGCCCUUCAGCUGCAGAUAGCUCGAAGGCGCUUCCUGUUUAUGGGCAAUAACUGCACUCGGACUAAACUGCAUCUCGAGCUAAAGUAGCAACGCACGUUAACUUAGAGCACGGUUUCUCCUAGCACCGACAGAAACGAAUAAGCACCAACGUCACGGCGGAAUGCAGAACAACUCACUGUUUUGAGCUACAUGGCGACUAGAACCACGCCUGCGGGGUCUUCCAGGGCAGGGGGCGGGCGGCGGCAGCGCGGAGCGGUGGCGGCGCGUCCGGCCGCGGUGGACUGACAGGUGCCGGCUCUAGCGGCGCGCGGCCUGCAGCGCGGGACCCACCGGCGCGAGGCGGGAGGGCGCCGCCGCCAUUUUGCUGCGCUAAUCCCGAGUGUUCAGAGCUUGAAGCUGACCACUGCAAAGGCCACUUGUCACAUUUACU